UCCGGCUGGAGCGGGCACCUGCGGCGCGGCGGCGGCCAUGGCGUCCUCCACGGUGCGCAGGGUGGCCCUGGCCUCGGGGCUCGUCCUGGCCGCGUCGCUGCUGCUGCCCAAGGCCUUCCUGUCCCGCGGAAAGCAGCAGGAGCCGCCGCCCGCGCCCGAAGGGAAGUUGGGUCGAUUUCCACCCGUGAUGCCCCAUCGCCAGGCGCCCUCAGACGGCCAGACGCCUGGGGCUCGUCUCCAGAGGUCUCACCUCGCGGAGGCCUUUGCAAAGGCCAGAGGAUCAGGAGCAGGCCCUGGAGGAGGAGGUGGUGGAAGAGGCCUCAUGGGGCAGAUCAUUCCGAUUUAUGGUUUUGGGAUUUUCUUAUAUAUACUGUACAUCCUGUUCAAGCUCUCGAAGGGGAAGAGCCCUGCAGAAGACCGCAGAUGCGCCACUGCCCCCCCGGGGAGCUCCCACAGGAAGAUCACCAACUUUGAACUUGUUCAAUUGCAAGAAAAACUGAAGGAGACAGAGGAAGCCAUGGAGAAAUUAAUCAGCAGAGUGGAGCCUAAUGGUGAGAGCAGAGCACGGACUGUGACUUCUGACCAAGAAAAGCGGCUGCUGCAUCAGCUCCGAGAAAUCACCAGGGUCAUGAGAGAAGGGCGAUUCAUUGACAGACCCACGCCGGAGCAGGAAGCCGAGGAGGCCUCUCCCACGGAGGACUGGGAAGGUUACCCUGAAGAGACUUACCCGAUUCACGACCUUUCCGACGGGGUCAGGCGUCGGCCCGAAACCAUCCUGGUGGAUUUCCCCGACCCCCAGGAGCCCUCCGCCGAGGAAAUCGCUGAAAGAAUGGAGCUGCCGGAAGAAGAGGAGGUGGGCCGCCCAGGUCGGGAGAUGCCAGCCAAGCCCAGAGCCCCGGAGGACGGCGCCGCCGCCCCAGGCGGCCCCCGGCCGGAAACCUGUUCCUGCUGUUUUCCUGCCCAGGAGGACCCCGCGGUCCUGGCAGAGCACGCUGGGUUCGGCGCAGACAGUCCCAGCGAGCUGGAGGAAGGCGCCCACGAAGAGCCGGGCAUCGGGGCUGCCAGGGCCUGUGCGGGGGGCGCGCUGAGGAGGCGGAGCCCCCAGGGCUCGGAGUGAAAGCAGCCGGAGUGGGGGUGUCUGCUGCUCAGUCCCUGUGACCCGUCCGCUCCCAGCGCCCCCUGCACCCAGCGCCCCCGUCCGUGUCCACGUGUCAUCGCCGGCCAGGCCCCUGCGGUGGCUCUCCUGUGUCCUCCUGGUGCUGACACAGCUGUCCCCGUAAACACCGCGGACAUGAGUACGGACUCCCGAUAGCCUCACUCCUUUCCCGCCUCUCCCCCGUCGGCGGUGAUGCGCCGCGUAGCUUUGCCUCUGCUGUAGUGUCAGAGGGGACAGCUCUGGGCACAGGCCUGACACGUCGUGCCGGGCCAGCCUGCCUCACCUGCGGACAAACGUCGCGGUCCUCGUGCCGAGGACCGACCGUCACCAAGAGUGACGCUUCAGAGUCCCGGAGGCCUUGCUCCGCGGCCUCCAGCAGGUUGGUGCCCUGCUGGGUUCAGGAGGACAGCGUUUUGUUUGUGGGGGUGACGGGGCCAGAGCAGGCAAGACUCUGCGGUCUGAGCUGAAGCCCCUUGCUCGCACCUUUUUAGGAGCACGAGGCCACGCAGACGUGUGUUCUUGGCACUUCGGAGAAGGCGCGCAGAGUGCUCUUGCUCUGCCGCUGCCUGGAUCUCUCGCUCCCUUUAUCCCUGUUCUGCUUAUAACAGAGCUGCCAGCCCCAGAAGCACGUUUGUGCCUCUGGUCUUCAGCGGCCAGAGGAAGCGUGAGAUAGAGCCUUUGGUCCUUGCCCUGCAGAGCCAAGGCUGGAGGCAGGUGGGGCUUCAGGAAAGCCUGCCCCGGGGUGACAGUCCUGCCAUGAGCUGCUCCGCAGGCCGGGUGCCGGUGACAGGAAGAGCCCCGCUCGUGGACAUGGUCCUUUCUGAAUGUCGUGCCCUUGGGGACAUUUGUUCUCACAGCAAACGGACUGGAAACGGAAGCGAGGACCCAGCUUGUAGACCACGUGCCAGCCCAACAGGGCAACUGCGGGACCCGACGUAGGAGGCUCUUUAUCCCUGCGCGGCUGGCUGGGCCGCCUGAGAAAGCUGGAUGGAGUAGGAGGUCCGUUAGGACUGGAGGAUUCUGACCCAACCCAACGCCCCGUUUCCGAGCGGCCACCUGUCACGCGUCUCCUGGAGGCGGGAGGUGCUCUGGCGGGUAAGGAGGAGGGAAUUCACUUUCUCAUCCUGGGAGUUUCCGCCGACACCCCCCGCCCCACCCCGGACUCAGCCGGCUGUGCAGUGUCGGUGACUUGGGGAUGAAGUUACGCAGGGGGGGCGGGGCUGGCUGUCAGAGGCCCGGGGUGCCCGGCCCACGCAGGAGGCCAGGCAGAUCGUUCAGAUCCCACCGAGACGCGUGCACGCUGUUGUCGCCAGGUCCAGGAUCAUAUUAAGACGAAGUGUCAGCUGCUGCUGCGCGGUGCUCGUUCGCUCAUGACCACAGAGAGGUCGCUGAAGACGGGGUCUGCAGAGCGCACAUUGUGUGUGUCUGUGUGCAACACUGAUUCACUUGUAAAGAACGUUCUUAGCCGUGUGAAACUGCAGUCUAGCUGUAAUGUCAUGAGCUGCAGCUGCAGAACCUGGCCCGAACCCCCGAACCCUGGCGCUCUCGCCUCUAAAGCUGGGCCGUCAAAGCGGGGAGGGCUGAGUGAGGCCCCCGGGACCGGUGGAAAAGCUUCACUCCCGGCUCGCUCCUGAUAACCGCCCGGAGGCGACUUCCUAGAGGCAGAGCCGAGGACAGGCCACAGUUCAGGCAGGAUCUGCUCCCGAC